rnacentral:rRNA from 1 species
AGCGAACGCUGGCGGCAGGCCUAACACAUGCAAGUCGAACGAACCUUUCGGGGUUAGUGGCGGACGGGUGAGUAACACGUGGGAACGUGCCUUUAGGUUCGGAAUAACUCAGGGAAACUUGUGCUAAUACCGAAUGUGCCCUUCGGGGGAAAGAUUUAUCGCCUUUAGAGCGGCCCGCGUCUGAUUAGCUAGUUGGUUGAGGUAAUGGCUCACCAAGGCGACGAUCAGUAGCUGGUCUGAGAGGAUGAUCAGCCACAUUGGGACUGAGACACGGCCCAAACGCGACGGGGAGGAGGCGGUGGGAAAUCUUGCGCAAUGGGCGAAAGCCUGCCACGCCCAGGCGGGGUGAAUGAGGAAGGCUUUGGAAUUUAAAAAUCCUUUCCCCGGGGCGGUAAUGACGGUACCCGGAGAAGAAGCCCCGGCUAACUUCGUG